rnacentral:rRNA from 1 species
UAGGGAAUAUUAGAAAUGGCCGAAAGUCUGAUCUAGCAACACCGCGUGUGCGAAGAAGGCCUUUGGGUCGUAAAGCACUUUUUGGAAGGAAUAGGAAGGAAUGUACUUCCAGAAUAAGUCUCGGCUAACUACGUGCCAGCAGCCGCGGUAACACGUAGGAGGCAAACGUUAUCCGGAUUUACUGGGCGUAAAGCGCGUGUAGGUGGUACUGUAAGUAGGGCGUGAAAGCUCCUGGCUCAACUGGGGGAGGCCGUUCUAAACUACAGAACUAGAGGAUGGUAGAGGGAGGUGGAAUUCCAGGUGUAGCGGUGGAAUGCGCAGAUAUCUGGAGGAACACCGGUGGCGAAGGCGGCCUCCUGGACCAUUCCUGACACUCAGACGCGAAAGCUAGGGUAGCAAACGG